AUUGAACGCUGGCGGCAGGCUUAACACAUGCAAGUCGAACGAGUGGCGGACGGGUGAGUAAUGCUUGGGAAUCUAGCUUAUGGAGGGGGAUAACUACGGGAAACUGUAGCUAAUACCGCGUACCAACGGAUGAGCCCAAGUGGGAUUAGGUAGUUGGUGAGGUAAAGGCUCACCAAGACGACGAUCUCUAGCUGGUCUGAGAGGAUGACCAGACACACUGGGACUGAGACACGGCCCAGACCCCGACGUAGGGCAGCAGUGGGGAAUAUUGCGCAAUGGGGGCAACCUGACGCAGCCAUGCCGCGUGAAGAAAGAAGGCCUGCGGGUUGUAAAGUUCUUUUGGUAGCGAGGCGUUAACUACAGAAGAAGCACCGGCUAACUCCGUGCCAGCCGCCGCGGUAAUGC
rnacentral:rRNA from 1 species